UGGCAUCACGCAGCAUCCAGUUGCUCAGACUUUCUACAUCACUAUCAAGCCUGUGGAGGACUCCCUGCCUCUUCUUCAGGUCCCUGGCAUGAGGGUGCAGGAGGGUGUGAGGAAGACCAUCACUGAGUUUGAGCUGAAAGCCACCGAUGCAGACACAGAGGCGGAGUCCAUCGUCUUCAGCGUCAUCCAGGCUCCUCGAC